rnacentral:misc_RNA from 1 species
UCUCUCCCUUGUCAAUAGUUGGAAAUGUAAAAUGUACAUGCCAUGACUUCAAAUUGCAUUUCAUUUGGCUUCACUUAUGCGCAUAAAUGAGACUUCAUGAUGGCUACACAAACAACAUGGCAAAUUUUCUAUAGGAAAGCUAACCAUAGAUGUAAUUCUUAUAGAAAAUCUUAUGCCAACAGAAGAAUUUAGAAAUACAACCAAAGCUAGUAAUACAUACACAAUAUGAACCAAAGAAAGAAGCUUAAGAAAGGCAACCAUAUCAGAUUUCACUUUAAAAGUUAUAAUUAAAAGCACAUCCAAAUCUUGGCACAUACAAACCUGUCUUUUAAGGAACCUAUUAUGUUGAUUGGCUUCACUUAAAUUUUUAACGAGCCUUUCUCUUUCCGAGUCAGCUAGCAGUGCCUUCAAAUCAUCACUGCUCAAUUGUUCCGCAUGGUCCUCUGAUGAAUCACUAGAUCCAUUCUCUUCAUCUUCAGAUUGUAUUGAUGAAGACUCCUCCAAACUAGCUGGCAUGGAAUAUGUUCUCCAUAAUUCCCUGUUCAUCCAAUACUUUGUUGCAGAACCUGGAUGCAGAUGAGACAACCUUGGGUAGCUCAUCUUUACAUUGCAGCCAAUCGCAUUGUAAUGAAGUUUAGGGAUACUUUUCCAAUAUAGCAUUUGCAAUCUCUGUGAAAACCACGGUACUUUUCUGCCAUUACAGCACCCUGUUGUGCCAAUCUCCAUAUGGACGGGUCCCAGAAAAUUAAUGAGGGAGAGGGAGAUUUUUUCCGAAAGCAGUGAGCUCAGCUCUGCUAGAGCGUUUGUGUGUGUGGCGAGAGAGAGAGAGAGAGAGAGUAAAUAGGAGUGUUUAGUAUUUUACUAUUACAUUAACUAAACUAAAGUGUCAAAUGUCAAUGGCAACAUUGACACAAGUACUAAUAAUUGAUUAAUUAUUUGUUGAAAUGAUGCUUUAUUAAUUAACUAUAUGAUAUAUGGUGGUGCAUUGAUUGACCAAAGCAAUUAAGAAGAGACU